rnacentral:rRNA from 1 species
CUACGGGCUGCUGCAGUGAGGAAUAUUGCACAAUGGGCGCAAGCCUGAUGCAGCCAUGCCGCGUGAGUGAUAAGGCCCUAGGGUUGUAAAACUCUUUCAGCGGGGAGGAUAAUGACGUUACCCGCAGAAGAAGCCCCGGCUAACUCCGUGCCAGCAGCCGCGGUAAUACGGAGGGGGCUAGCGUUGUUCGGAAUCACUGGGCGUAAAGCGCACGUAGGCGGGUCGGUAAGUUGGGGGUGAAAUCCCGGGGCUCAACCUCGGAACUGCCUUCAAUACUGCCGAUCUUGAGUCCGGGAGAGGUGAAUGGAAUUCCUAGUGUAGAGGUGAAAUUCGUAGAUAUUAGGAGGAACACCAGUGGCGAAGGCGAUUCACUGGCCCGGUACUGACGCUGAGGUGCGAAAGCGUGGGGAGCAAACAGGAUUAGAUACCCCUGUAGUC